rnacentral:lncRNA from 1 species
GUCUGGCGAAGCUCGCUGGCGAAGCCCAGGCGAUGUAUAUCAGCGAGCACUGCCGUCGCGGCCGCCUCCGUCGCGGCCGUUCGCUCGCGGCCAUUCCCUCGCGGCCAGUCGCUGAUGUCUCCGUGUGCGACGCUCACGGUCGCUCGCCUUCGCUCGCGGCCCCGCGCUCUUCGCGAUCGCUUGCUUUCGCUCGCGGUCGCUUGCUUAUGCUGUCAAUCGCUCGCGGCCAGUCGCUGAUGCGCCG